AUUGAACGCUGGCGGCAGGCCUAACACAUGCAAGUCGAGCGAGAAAGGUCUUCGGGCUGAGUACAGCGGCGGACGGGUGAGUAACGCGUAGGAAUCUACCUGGUAGUGGGGGACAACAUGGUGAAAACCAUGCUAAUACCGCAUACGCCCUAUGGGGGAAAGCGGGGGACCUUCGGGCCUCGCGCUAUCAGAUGAGCCUGCGUAGGAUUAGCGUUGUCGGUGAGGUAAAGGCUCACUAAGGGCGACGAUCCUUAGCUGGUCCUGAGAGGAUGAUCAGCCACACUGGAACUGAGACACGGUCCAGACUCCUACGGGAGGCAGCAGUGGGGAAUAUUGCGCAAUGGGCGAAAGCCUGACGCAGCCAUGCCGCGUGUGUGAAGAAGGCCCUUGGGUUGUAAAGCACUUUCAAUUGGGAAGAAAGGUUAGCGUGUUAAUAGCACGUAGCUGUGACGUUACCUUUAGAAGAAGCACCGGCUAACUCCGUGCCAGCAGCC
rnacentral:rRNA from 1 species